rnacentral:rRNA from 1 species
CGCGGCCUAUCAGCUUGUUGGUGGGGUGACGGCCUACCAAGGCGACGACGGGUAGCCGGCCUGAGAGGGUGUCCGGCCACACUGGGACUGAGAUACGGCCCAGACUCCUACGGGAGGCAGCAGUGGGGAAUAUUGCACAAUGGGCGCAAGCCUGAUGCAGCGACGCCGCGUGGGGGAUGACGGCCUUCGGGUUGUAAACCUCUUUCACCAUCGACGAAGGUCCGGGGUUUCUCGGAUUGACGGUAGGUGGAGAAGAAGCACCGGCCAACUACGUGCCAGCAGCCGCGGUAAUACGUAGGGUGCGAGCGUUGUCCGGAAUUACUGGGCGUAAAGAGCUCGUAGGUGGUUUGUCGCGUUGUUCGUGAAAUCUCACGGCUUAACUGUGAGCGUGCGGGCGAUACGGGCAGACUGGAGUACUGCAGGGGAGACUGGAAUUCCUGGUGUAGCGGUGGAAUGCGCAGAUAUCAGGAGGAACACCGGUGGCGAAGGCGGGUCUCAGGGCAGUAACUGACGCUGAGGAGCGAAAGCGUGGGGAGCGAACAGGAUUAGAUACCCUGGUAGUCCACGCCGUAAACGGUGGGUACUAGGUGUGGGUUUCCUUCCUUGGGAUCCGUGCCGUAGCUAACGCAUUAAGUACCCCGC